rnacentral:snRNA from 1 species
GGCUCACUCCGCCAGCCAUAUACUAAAUUUGGAACGAACCAGAGAGAAUAUCAUGGCCCCGCGCAAGGGAGACCCCCAAUUCUGGGAAGCGGUUCCAUAUUAA